rnacentral:rRNA from 1 species
GGAUUAGAUACCCUGGUAGUCCAUGCCGUAAACGUUGGGCACUAGGUGUGGGGAGGAUUCAACCCUUUCCGUGCCGUAGCUAACGCAUUAAGUGCCCCGCCUGGGGAGUACGGCCGCAAGGCUAAAACUCAAAGGAAUUGACGGGGGCCCGCACAAGCGGCGGAGCAUGUUGCUUAAUUCGAGGCAACGCGAAGAACCUUACCUAGGUUGAACUACGCAGGAAAAGCCACAGAGAUGUGGUGUCCUUCGGGGUCUGCGAUAGGUGGUGCAUGGCUGUCGUCAGCUCGUGCCG